GGGUUGUGAGGUUAAGCGACUAAGCGUACACGGUGGAUGCCCUGGCAGUCAGAGGCGAUGAAGGACGUGCUAAUCUGCGAUAAGCGCCGGUAAGGUGAUAUGAACCGUUAUAACCGGCGAUUUCCGAAUGGGGAAACCCAGUGUGAUUCGUCACACUAUCAUUAACUGAAUCCAUAGGUUAAUGAGGCGAACCGGGGGAACUGAAACAUCUAAGUACCCCGAGGAAAAGAAAUCAACCGAGAUUCCCCCAGUAGCGGCGAGCGAACGGGGAGGAGCCCAGAGCCUGAAUCAGCAUGUGUGUUAGUGGAAGCGUCUGGAAAGGCGCGCGAUACAGGGUGACAGCCCCGUACACAAAAGCGCAUGUGCUGUGAGCUCGAUGAGUAGGGCGGGACACGUGGUAUCCUGUCUGAAUAUGGGGGGACCAUCCUCCAAGGCUAAAUACUCCUGACUGACCGAUAGUGAACCAGUACCGUGAGGGAAAGGCGAAAAGAACCCCGGCGAGGGGAGUGAAAAAGAACCUGAAACCGUGUACGUACAAGCAGUGGGAGCACCCUUCGGGGUGUGACUGCGUACCUUUUGUAUAAUGGGUCAGCGACUUAUAUUCUGUAGCAAGGUUAACCGUAUAGGGGAGCCGUAGGGAAACCGAGUCUUAAC
rnacentral:rRNA from 1 species